rnacentral:rRNA from 1 species
UGUGUGUUAGUGGAAGCGUCUGGAAAGGCGCGCGAUACAGGGUGACAGCCCCGUACACAAAAAUGCACAUGCUGUGAGCUCGAUGAGUAGGGCGGGACACGUGGUAUCCUGUCUGAAUAUGGGGGGACCAUCCUCCAAGGCUAAAUACUCCUGACUGACCGAUAGUGAACCAGUACCGUGAGGGAAAGGCGAAAAGAACCCCGGCGAGGGGAGUGAAAAAGAACCUGAAACCGUGUACGUACAAGCAGUGGGAGCACGCUUAGGCGUGUGACUGCGUACCUUUUGUAUAAUGGGUCAGCGACUUAUAUUCUGUAGCAAGGUUAACCGAAUAGGGGAGCCGAAGGGAAACCGAGUCUUAACUGGGCGUUAAGUUGCAGGGUAUAGACCCGAAACCCGGUGAUCUAGCCAUGGGCAGGUUGAAGGUUGGGUAACACUAACUGGAGGACCGAACCGACUAAUGUUGAAAAAUUAGCGGAUGACUUGUGGCUGGGGGUGAAAGGCCAAUCAAACCGGGAGAUAGCUGGUUCUCCCCGAAAGCUAUUUAGGUA